rnacentral:rRNA from 1 species
UACGACGGGGGCUAGCGUUGCUCGGAAUCACUGGGCGUAAAGCGCACGUAGGCGGCUUCUUAAGUCAGGGGUGAAAUCCUGGAGCUCAACUCCAGAACUGCCUUUGAUACUGAGGAGCUUGAGUCCGGGAGAGGUGAGUGGAACUGCGAGUGUAGAGGUGAAAUUCGUAGAUAUUCGCAAGAACACCAGUGGCGAAGGCGGCUCACUGGCCCGGUACUGACGCUGAGGUGCGAAAGCGUGGGGAGCAAACAGG